rnacentral:misc_RNA from 1 species
GAUGAAGAACGUAGCGAAAUGCGAUAAGUAAUGUGAAUUGCAGAAUUCAGUGAAUCAUCGAAUCUUUGAACGCACAUUGCGCCCGCCAGUAUUCUGGCGGGCAUGCCUGUUCGAGCGUCAUUACAACCCUCAGGCCCCCGGGCCUGGCGUUGGGGAUCGGCGGAGCCCCCCGUGGGCACACGCCGUCCCCCAAAUACAGUGGCGGUCCCGCCGCAGCUUCCAUCGCGUAGUAGCUAACACCUCGCGACUGGAGAGCGGCGCGGCCACGCCGUAAAACACCCAACUCUUCUGAAGUUGACCUCGAAUCAGGUAGGAAUACCCGCUGAACUUAAGCAUAUCAAUAAGCGAGGA